UACGUAGGGAGCAAGCGUUGUCCGGAAUCAUUGGGCGUAAAGCGUGCGUAGGCGGCUGCGCAAGUCGGUUGUGAAACCCCGGGGCUCAACCCCGGAACUGCAUCCGAUACUGCGUGGCUAGAGGUAGGUAGGGGAGAUCGGAAUUCCUGGUGUAGCGGUGAAAUGCGCAGAUAUCAGGAGGAACACCGGUGGCGAAGGCGGUUCUCUGGGCCUUACCUGACGCUGAGGAGCGAAAGCGUGGGGAGCGAACAGG
rnacentral:rRNA from 1 species